GUACACUCCUGCGGGAGGCAGCAGUGGGGAAUUUUGGACAAUGGGCGAAAGCCUGAUCCAGCAAUGCCGCGUGUGUGAAGAAGGCCUUCGGGUUGUAAAGCACUUUUGUCCGGAAAGAAAUCCUUGGCUCUAAUACAGUCGGGGGAUGACGGUACCGGAAGAAUAAGCACCGGCUAACUACGUGCCAGCAGCCGCGGUAAUACGUAGGGUGCGAGCGUUAAUCGGAAUUACUGGGCGUAAAGCGUGCGCAGGCGGUUUGCUAAGACCGAUGUGAAAUCCCCGGGCUCAACCUGGGAACUGCAUUGGUGACUGGCAGGCUAGAGUAUGGCAGAGGGGGGUAGAAUUCCACGUGUAGCAGUGAAAUGCGUAGAGAUGUGGAGGAAUACCGAUGGCGAAGGCAGCCCCCUGGGCCAAUACUGACGCUCAUGCACGAAAGCGUGGGGAUCAAACAGGAUUAGAUACCCUUGUAGUCCCA
rnacentral:rRNA from 1 species